UCCGGGAGGGUCCGACAAUUGUUCGGCACAGAAAUGUGAAAACUUGGCUAAAGAAUUGGAGCGCGUGAAGAGCGAGUCGGAACUUGCCAAGGAAAGAUUGAGUGCAGAGAGGCGCCAUGCGGAAUUCGUUGCAUUGUCAGCAAACCAAAAAUUAGGCUCCUUACGUCAGAAUCAUAAAGAUGAACUGCGAGAAAAACAUUUUCAAAUGCUCCAAAUAUCGUAUGACGUACAGAUACGUUCCUUGGUCGAGUCGGUUGAAAUGGAUUUCAUUGGCAUAUAUGAAUAUGAGGAACAAAAGAAAAUACCAAAAGAACUUUAUCCAACGGCAUUGAGGAUGCGGAACAAGAAACAAGAAGGCAGCUCAACGCCGUUAGAUCGGAGACGAAGAGUCUGCCUGUGGGAACUUCUGAAAAAGCAAGGGUCCUUGAAAAAAAGGCUUCUGCAAACCAAAAACGAUAAAGGCGAAAUACUAAUUACGCCAGAUGUUUACGAAGUAAUGGAAAGUUUAAUCUUCCACAUUUAUGACAGUACCAGCGGGAACAUUCACAAAUUCCAAGAAGUUGGAGAUAUCGUGUACGUGAAUGCACGUCUAUUAAAUCCGCAGCAAUUGGCUGUUGUCGAGGCUUUCUGUCGUAUCCGCGGCGUAAAUUUUAACAUCUACGAUGGCCUGCAUUUGUUACGUGACUCUGGUAUACCGGAUCACUGGAGAGGUGAAGUGGAGAAUUUUGAGUGUCUACAACCGUGCGUCGCUGAUAAUACGUUCAGGGGCAAAGCGGCAAAAAGUGCUGAAGACCUUCCUCUUGAGAUUCCCCGUUAUUUUUCACCACCAGCGUUGUUGGCUGUUCCUCUCCGAGAGGGAAGCUCUGGUGAAGCCCAGUGUCAAUACGAUCUGGUUGUCGUGGGCAGCGGAUCAGGUGGUAUUGCUGCUGCCCGAAAAGCAGCUAGCUUGGGAGCUAAAGUCGCCCUCGUUGAGUCGAAGGAAGGACGCCUAGGAGGAACUUGUGUGAAUGUGGGAUGUGUACCGAAGAAAAUCACGUGGAACGCUUCUAGUUUGGCAGCCAAUAUUGAGCAUGAUUUGAAGGAUUAUGGUUUUGACAUUGAGUACAAGGGUUUUGACUGGAAGAAAUUUAAAUCCAAACGGGACGCUUACGUGAAACGACUGAACGGGAUAUACGAAGCAAAUCUGAAAAAGGAUGGAAUUGAACUAGUGAACGGAGUGGGGCGAUUCGAUGAUAACGGUGUCUUACAAGUUGCUGAGCGGAAAUUGUUGGCCAAACACUAUCUGAUUGCUGCCGGUGGGCGCCCAAAAUGGCCUGAAAUUCCAGGAGCGGAACUUGGGAUUGACAGUGAUGGAUUCUUCGAGCUGGAAGCAUUGCCAAAAAAAGUCGCCGUUGUUGGAGGAGGAUAUAUUGGGGUGGAAAUUUGCGGCAUGUUUCGGUCUUUUGGAUGUCAGGCUCAGAUGUUCAUCAAAGAAGAACGACUGCUAUAUCAUUUUGAAAAGAUGAUUGGCAGUGCUAUUGAAGAAGAAUUCAGCCACCAGGGAAUCAAGAUUCAUAAAAAGUUUCAGGCUGGCGCUCUGAAGCGCGAAUCCGACGGAAGUUUGACACUGAUAUCGGGUGAACACUAUUAUAAAGGCUUUGAUUGUGUAUUAUGGGCAAUCGGGCGGACUGCCAACAGCGAUACUAUCGGACUGGAAAAACUGGGUAUAAAGAUGAAUGAACGUGGCCGUAUUCAAGUGGAUAAAUAUCAGAAGACGACUGUGGACAAUGUUUACGCUAUUGGCGAUAUUACCGGACAGAAAGAAUUAACGCCGGUAGCUAUCGCAGCUGGGCGUCGUUUGGCGGAAAAGCUAUUUGGAAAGGACACUUCGGCACAUUUAUCAUGCGAAAACAUUCCAAGUGUGGUAUUCUCCCAUCCUCCAUGUGGAUCGGUGGGAUUGUCAGAAGGUUUCUGUCUAGGAGGCUCAGAAGAAAUACGGAAACGAUCAUAUCAAAAUCUAUGAGACAUCAUAUACGCCCAUGUAUCACGCAUUAACGGAAUGUAAAACUAAAUGUAUCGUCAAAAUGAUUUGUACCGGUGCAGAUGAGAAGAUUGUUGGGCUUCACCUCGUGGGAAUUGGUAGCGAUGAAACGAUGCAGGGUUUCGCUGUGGCAAUCAGUAUGGGCGCUACUAAGAAGCAGUUCGAUCUGGGAGUUAUUGUUUACUAACAUUCUGAGAUGACGUACCUAUUCUGGCUGUGGCAUGAGCAGGUCGCUUGCUUUCACUGCCUAAUUUUUUCAGUUAAAUUUUUUCAGUUAAAUUUUUCACUGCCUUUCUGAUUUUUUCUGGUGAUAGGAAUUUGCGAGAUUAGCCCGAUAAUGUGAUUAAUGCAGAAUGGUUAGAAAUUCACUAAACGGUUUCGUUUGUAAGUAUUUGUUUUACACUCUUGUGUACUUCGUGUAGUAACAUUAAAAUU